CCUACGGGUGGCAGCAGUGGGGAAUAUUGCACAAUGGGGGCAACCCUGAUGCAGCAACGCCGCGUGAGUGAGGAAGGCUUUCGGUUUGUAAAGUUCUAUCAGCAUGGAAUAGCAAAGAAGGUACCUGCUAGAGUAGGCCCCGGCAACCACGGUCCAGCCGCCCCGGUAAAUCGUAGGUGGCAAGCGUUGUUCGGAAUUACUGGGUGGAAAGGGGGCGUAGACGGAAAGGCAAGUCCGAAGGGAAAAUCCAAGGCUCAACCCUGGGACUGCGUUUGAAACUGUCAAACUAGAGUACGGGAAAGGUAAGAGGAAUUCCUAGUGUAGCGGUGAAAGGCGUAGAUAUUAGGAGGAACACCAGUGGCGAAGGCGUCUUACUGGACCAAAACUGACGGUGAGGCGCGAAAGCGUGGGGAGCAAACAGGAUUAGAUACCCGGGUAGUC
rnacentral:rRNA from 1 species